AGAUGAGGAGAGAAUCCUAAGGUGAGCGAGAGAACUCUCGUUAAGGAACUCGGCAAAAUGACCCCGUAACUUCGGGAGAAGGGGUGCUCUAUUAGGGUGCAAGCCCGAGAGAGCCGCAGUGAAUAGGCCCAGGCGACUGUUUAGCAAAAACACAGGUCUCUGCAAAACCGUAAGGUGACGUAUAGGGGCUGACGCCUGCCCGGUGCUGGAAGGUUAAGAGGAGUGCUUAGCUUCGGCGAAGGUACGAAUUGAAGCCCCAGUAAACGGCGGCCGUAACUAUAACGGUCCUAAGGUAGCGAAAUUCCUUGUCGGGUAAGUUCCGACCCGCACGAAAGGCGCAACGAUCUGGGCACUGUCUCAACGAGAGACUCGGUGAAAUUAUAGUACCUGUGAAGAUGCAGGUUACCCGCGACAGGACGGAAAGACCCCGUGGAGCUUUACUGCAACCUGAUAUGGAAUGUUUGUACCGCUUGUACAGGAUAGGUAGGAGCCGAAGAGACGUGUGCGCUAGCAUACGAGGAGGCAAUGGUGGGAUACUACCCUGGCUGUAUGACCAUUCUAACCCGCCACGCUUAGCGCGUGGGGAGACAGUGUCAGGUGGGCAGUUUGACUGGGGCGGUCGCCUCCU
rnacentral:rRNA from 1 species